GGGAAGCUGAAGAGUGUAGGAACUGCAAACCUUACUGUUAAGGAAGCCAAAGGCGCUGCCGAAAUGAUGUUUGUAGGAAGCACACUUCCACUAUUGCCUAUCAUCUCAUGGGAUGAAGAACCUAUUGGAGAUGGAAGCGUUGGAGAACUGACGAUGGCGCUAUCGGAUCUGCUUUGGGAUGACAUGGUCUCAGGUCCUGAAACAGAGAGAAUACCAGUUUCAUACACACAGUGAAAGGAAGCCCCCACAGAAUCAAAGGAUGUCAAAGGCUGCUCAAGGAAUGU
rnacentral:misc_RNA from 1 species